rnacentral:rRNA from 1 species
AGGGAAUCUUCCGCAAUGGACGAAAGUCUGACGGAGCAACGCCGCGUGAGUGAAGAAGGUCUUCGGAUCGUAAAACUCUGUUGUUAGGGAAGAACAAGUAUCGUUCGAAUAGGGCGGCACCUUGACGGUACCUAACCAGAAAGCCACGGCUAACUACGUGCCAGCAGCCGCGGUAAUACGUAGGUGGCAAGCGUUGUCCGGAAUUAUUGGGCGUAAAGCGCGCGCAGGCGGUUUCUUAAGUCUGAUGUGAAAGCCCCCGGCUCAACCGGGGAAGGUCAUUGGAAACUGGGGAACUUGAGUGCAGAAGAGGAGAGUGGAAUUCCACGUGUAGCGGUGAAAUGCGUAGAGAUGUGGAGGAACACCAGUGGCGAAGGCGACUCUCUGGUCUGUAACUGACGCUGAGGCGCGAAAGCGUGGGGAGCGAAC